rnacentral:tRNA from 1 species
UGUUAGCUCAGUUACUAGAGCAUUCGAUUCAAGAUCCCGGCAACAGGAGUUCGAAUUCUCC